UACGAAGGGGGCUAGCGUUGUUCGGAAUUACUGGGCGUAAAGCGUAUGCAGGCGGAUCGUUAAGUCGGGGGUGAAAUCCCGAGGCUCAACCUCGGAACUGCCUUCGAUACUGGCGAUCUUGAGUCCGGGAGAGGUGAGUGGAACUCCGAGUGUAGAGGUGAAAUUCGUAGAUAUUCGGAAGAACACCAGUGGCGAAGGCGGCUCACUGGCCCGAUACUGACGCUGAGGUGCGAAAGCGUGGGGAGCAAACAGG
rnacentral:rRNA from 1 species